rnacentral:rRNA from 1 species
AGUGAACGCUGGCGGUAGGCCUAACACAUGCAAGUCGAACGGCAGCACAGUAAGAGCUUGCUCUUACGGGUGGCGAGUGGCGGACGGGUGAGGAAUACAUCGGAAUCUACUUUUUCGUGGGGGAUAACGUAGGGAAACUUACGCUAAUACCGCAUACGACCUACGGGUGAAAGCAGGGGAUCUUCGGACCUUGCGCGAUUGAAUGAGCCGAUGUCGGAUUAGCUAGUUGGCGGGGUAAAGGCCCACCAAGGCGACGAUCCGUAGCUGGUCUGAGAGGAUGAUCAGACACACUGGAACUGAGACACGGUCCAGACUCCUACGGGAGGCAGCAGUGGGGAAUAUUGGACAAUGGGCGCAAGCCUUAUCCAGCCAUACCGCGUGGGUGAAGAAGGCCUUCGGGUUGUAAAGCCCUUUUGUUGGGAAAGAAAAGCAGCAGGUUAAUACCCCGCUGUUCUGACGGUACCCAAAGAAUAAGCACCGGCUAACUUCGUG